rnacentral:tRNA from 1 species
GGAAAUGUGCCCGAAAAUAAGGACCUCCUUGAUAAGGAGGACAAUAGGAACUAAACCUCCUCAUUUCCU